GGCCGGUUAGCUCAGUGGUUUGAGCGCAGUGCUAACAACAAUGACAACACCGAGGUCGCGGGUUUGAUUCCUGCUCGGUCC
rnacentral:tRNA from 1 species